CCUACGGGGGGCAGCAGUGGGGAAUAUUGGACAAUGGGGGCAACCCUGAUCCAGCCAUGCCGCGUGUGUGAAGAAGGCCCUCGGGUUGUAAAGCACUUUCAGUGAGGAAGAACGCCUGGUGGUUAAUACCCAUCAGGAAAGACAUCACUCACAGAAGAAGCACCGGCUAACUCCGUGCCAGCAGCCGCGGUAAUACGGAGGGUGCGAGCGUUAAUCGGAAUUACUGGGCGUAAAGCGCGCGUAGGUGGCUUGAUAAGCCGGUUGUGAAAGCCCCGGGCUCAACCUGGGAACGGCAUCCGGAACUGUGAAGCUAGAGUGCAGGAGAGGAAGGUAGAAUUCCCGGUGUAGCGGUGAAAUGCGUAGAGAUCGGGAGGAAUACCAGUGGCGAAGGCGGCCUUCUGGACUGACACUGACACUGAGGUGCGAAAGCGUGGGUAGCAAACAGGAUUAGAUACCCCAGUAGUC
rnacentral:rRNA from 1 species